UACAUGGGGUGCAAACGUUGCUCGGAAUUAUUGGGCGUAAAGCGCACGUAGGCGGUUUGUUAAGUCGGAUGUGAAAUCCCUCGGCUCAACUGAGGAAGUGCAUCCGAAACUGGCAGGCUUGAGUACUAAAGAGGGUCGCGGAAUUCCCGGUGUAGAGGUGAAAUUCGUAGAUAUCGGGAGGAACACCAGUGGCGAAGGCGGCGAUCUGGGAAGAUACUGACGCUGAGGUGCGAAAGCGUGGGGAGCAAACAGG
rnacentral:rRNA from 1 species